rnacentral:lncRNA from 1 species
AUUGCAAAUUCUGCUGGCAUGAAGGAUAACACUGGGCAUUCAGAGCUCCCUGGACUCGUCUGCUGCCAUGAGAGGUCUCAGCCAAGGAUUUGGAGCCAAGAUAUGAGGGAAAUGGCUUAACCAGAUGUGUGCCCAUGCCUGCAACACUGAACUUUGAGAUGUGGUUAUUUAAAAAGCCUGCCAUCUUCUCUGGCUCACUGCAGCAAGGUGAGUAAUGGGUGGGACAGCAGCAUAUCCAGAAAAACACCUCUUUUUCAAGGGGAAGGAGAAGAGGUUAUA